GCGAGUGAAGCGGCAACAGCUCAAAUUUGAAAGCUGGCUUAGGCCCGCAUUGUAAUUUGCAGAGGAUGCUUCUGGCGAGGUGCCUUCCGAGUUCCCUGGAACGGGACGCCAUAGAGGGUGAGAGCCCCGUAUGGAUGGACACCAAACCUGUGUGAAGCUCCUUCAACGAGUCGAGUAGUUUGGGAAUGCUGCUCUAAAUGGGAGGUAAAUCUCUUCUAAAGCUAAAUACCGGCCAGAGACCGAUAGCGCACAAGUAGAGUGAUCGAAAGAUGAAAAGCACCUUGAAAAGGGGGUUAAACAGUACGUGAAAUUGUUGAAAGGGAAGCGCUUGUGACCAGACUUGCGCCGGGCAGCUCAUCAGGGGUUCUCCCCUGUGCACUCUGCCCGGCUCAGGCCAGCAUCGGUUCUUGUGGGAGGAUAAGAACGGUAGGAACGUGGCCCCCCUCCGGGGGGGUGUUAUAGCCUACCGUACGAUACUCCCGUGGGGACCGAGGUUCGCGCUCCGCAAGGAUGCUGGC
rnacentral:rRNA from 1 species